rnacentral:siRNA from 1 species
AUUACAUGCUGUGGUUUCGAACCU